ensembl:lncRNA novel transcript
AGAGACAACUGGACAUUUGAGUCCUACAGGGAAAAGGAACCCCAAACCAUCCGUGCAUGCAUAUGUGGGGUGGGGGUGAUGGGUGGAAUAUUUAAUCAGUGUUUGUAAAAGUUGAAUUUAUAGGUUCUUUUACAAGAAAGAAUAGAGCUGCUUGGAGCUAAAUACCCCGAAGCAAAUAACCUACUGGAGAUGAGUAGAAGCUCUCUGCUGUAGAUGGGGUUUUCCUUCAUCCUGUCUACAUCAGAUUUUUGUCAUUUGCCUCACAUCUAUAGCCUUUGGACUUCUCAUCUCUGCCAAAGAAACGUGGGCCAGAUGCUCCUUGAAGAAAGACUGCGACUGUGCAUGUCAACCACUACUUCUCAUACUGAAGCCUAGGAAGAAAUGUCAGAACUGGCCAGGGGAAGCUGACACCCUGCGAAAUACACCCAGAUCCUGCUUUCCUAGGACAGAAAAAAUGACCUCUGGCCUCUCUUUGCAAACUUUAGUUAAGAGUUGGGAGUAAGAGAUUCUUGACCACCAAGAAAGCAUUCUUCCUAUUCAGAGGAUGAAAUGUUCAAGUCAUCAUCUUUGAAGGAGAAACCAGACCCUCACCAGAUGAUGAACCUUCCAGCACCUUGAUCUUGGAUUUCCCAAACUCCAGAAUUUAUCUGGAAGAGCAACAGAAGGAAGCAUUCAAAACAAUUCCUACCUAAUUGACCUCUGAGGUUGAUGCAGUUGUACGUGGCAAGGAUGUACAGGUUGUUUUGUUUUGUUUUGUUUUACGAUUUUAAGUAUUUCAUUGAAUGGAAUGUUUGGAUUCAUUUAUUUAUUAAUGCAAGAAAUGUUUAUUUCACUCUUACUUUGUUUCACCUGCCUUGUGCUAGCCAUUCCCUAAUGAUGAAUUGAUAUGGUUUCUGUCACCAAGGAGCUCACAACCUCUUGAAGGAGCAAAACAUAACAGGAUCAUUAUAACAUAGUGUGAGCUCAUUUGAUAGAGACAUGCUUAGAGAGCUAUAUGAGCACAGAAGAGAGAUUAAUUCUCCAUGCUUCCCAUGACCGGGCACCAUUUCAGUAAUAGCUUAUGGACAAUAUACCUGAGUUUCUCAGUAUUGAGAUGAUAGUUUUAAACUAGUAAUGUUGUAAGAGAUAUGAGGAACAGUGAAUGAAACUUUACAAAAUGAAAUGGGUGUCUGUAGGGCCUGUGAGGAACUGCUGAUUUAAGGCUAAGGGAGGAUGUCUUCAUGCUCAAUGCUCAGAUCAUUAUCAGAGACAAAGAAAUAAGGCAAGAGAGCAGAUUUGAUGUAGUUAAUUGGAUGAGGGAGCAAGCCAGAACUCUGUUGGAAGGCUGAGUUAUGAUAGCCAACAAAGGAGAAAU